AGAGCGAACGCUGGCGGCAGGCUUAACACAUGCAAGUCGAGCGGGCGUAGCAAUACGUCAGCGGCAGACGGGUGAGUAACGCGUGGGAACGUACCUUUUGGUUCGGAACAACACAGGGAAACUUGUGCUAAUACCGGAUAAGCCCUUACGGGGAAAGAUUUAUCGCCAAAAGAUCGGCCCGCGUCUGAUUAGCUAGUUGGUGAGGUAACGGCUCACCAAGGCGACGAUCAGUAGCUGGUCUGAGAGGAUGAUCAGCCACAUUGGGACUGAGACACGGCCCAAACUCCUACGGGAGGCAGCAGUGGGGAAUAUUGGACAAUGGGCGCAAGCCUGAUCCAGCCAUGCCGCGUGAGUGAUGAAGGCCCGUAGGGUUGUAAAGCUCUUUUGUGCGGGAAGAUAAUGACGGUACCGCAAGAAUAAGCCCCGGCUAACUUCGUGCCAGCAGCCGC
rnacentral:rRNA from 1 species